UAGGGAAUCUUCGGCAAUGGACGGAAGUCUGACCGAGCAACGCCGCGUGCGUGAAGAAGGCUUUCGGAUCGUAAAGCUCUGUUGUUAGAGAAGAACGUUGGCAGGAGUGGAAAAUCUACCAAGUGACGGUAACUAACCAGAAAGGGACGGCUAACUACGUGCCAGCAGCCGCGGUAAUACGUAGGUCCCGAGCGUUGUCCGGAUUUAUUGGGCGUAAGGCGAGCGCAGGCGGUUCUUUAAGUCUGAAGUUAAAGGCACUGGCUUAAGCAUAGGACGCAUUGGAAACUGGAGGACUUGAGUGCAGAAGGGGAGAGUGGAAUUCCAUGUGUAGCGGUGAAAUGCGUAGAUAUAUGGAGGAACACCGGUGGCGAAAGCGGCUCUCUGGUCUGUAACUGACGCUGAGGCUCGAAAGCGUGGGGAGCAAACAGG
rnacentral:rRNA from 1 species